AGCGAAUAGAUACCCGGGUAGUCCACGCCGUAAACUAUGGAUGCUAGCUGUUAUGAGUAUCGACCCUCGUAGUAGCGUAGCUAACGCGUUAAGCAUCCCGCCUGUGGAGUACGGUCGCAAGACUAAAACAUAAAGGAAUUGACGGGGACCCGCACAAGCGGUGGAGCGUGUUGUUUAAUUCGAUGGUAAGCGAAGAACCUUACCCAGGCUUGACAUCCUGCCAAGGUCUCCGAAAGGAGAUUGUGCCUUCGGGCCGCAGUGACAGGUGAUGCAUGGCCGUCGUCAGCUCGUGUCGUGAGAUGUUUGGUUAAGUCCAUCAACGAGCGCAACCCUUAUAGUUAGUUGUAUUUCUCUAGCUAGACUGCCCUGGUAACAGGGAGGAAGGGGGGAUGAUGUCAGGUCAGUAUUUCCCUUACGUCUGGGGCUACAAACACGCUACAAUGGCCGGUACAAAGGGCUGCCAACCCGCGAGGGGAGCAAAUCCCAUCAAAGCCGGUCUCAGUUCGGAUAAGAGGCUGAAACUCGCCUCUUUGAAGCUGGAA
rnacentral:rRNA from 1 species